rnacentral:rRNA from 1 species
GUGGGGAAUUUUGGACAAUGGGCGAAAGCCUGAUCCAGCCAUGCCGCGUGCAGGAUGAAGGCCUUCGGGUUGUAAACUGCUUUUGUACGGAACGAAAAGACUCCUUCUAAUAAAGGGGGUCCAUGACGGUACCGUAAGAAUAAGCACCGGCUAACUACGUGCCAGCAGCCGCGGUAAUACGUAGGGUGCAAGCGUUAAUCGGAAUUACUGGGCGUAAAGCGUGCGCAGGCGGUUAUAUAAGACAGAUGUGAAAUCCCCGGGCUCAACCUGGGAAAUGCAUUUGUUACUGUAUAGCUAGAGUACGGUAGAGGGGGAUGGAAUUCCGCGUGUAGCAGUGAAAUGCGUAGAUAUGCGGAGGAACACCGAUGGCGAAGGCAAUCCCCUGGACCUGUACUGACGCUCGUGCACGAAAGCGUGGGGAGCAAACAGGAUUAGAUACCCGGGUAGUCC